CCUGUGUCUACAUAAACCCACUUCUCCUCCUGUUCGUGUUCGUCUUGUGUCGCCUCACCAGCCGUUUUCUACGUGUGUUUUCCCAGCGUUACCUGCAUACCUGGCCUCAUGCCAGUAUGCUAAUUCCCCUCAGAUGGUCUUUUCAUUGGUUGAUGCUGACUCCACACGUGCCAGAUGACUGCCCUCUCAUCCCACUAUUAAAGACCACCGUGAUGGGUAUGGCAAGAAGACCAUUACAUUAAGAUCAGACAUUCGUCCAGCUCACCACAUUUUCACUGUUGAGUCCGACGCAUUCUCACGGCUGGAUCACCAACAUGUGUGCCAAAGUACCCUGUUCACAGCAUGUAGAAAGCGUGAAUGUGCUGAAAACCAACACCGAAGCCAACUGGCAGUCAAAGGGUGUCUCCACGACGCACACGGAGCUCCACUAUUUGUCAUUCACCAGCUCCAGUCGGGGAGGCGGCG